AGAGUUUGAUCCUGGCUCAGAUUGAACGCUGGCGGUAUGCUUAACACAUGCAAGUCGAACGGAAACGAAACUAGCUUGCUAGUAGGCGUCGAGUGGCGGACGGGUGAGUAACGCGUAGGAAUCUGCCUGAUAGUGGGGGAUAGCCCGAAGAAAUUCGGAUUAAUACCGCAUAAUCUAUUCGUAGUAAAGUGGGGGACUUUCGAGCCUCACGCUAUCAGAUGAGCCUGCGUAAGAUUAGCUUGUUGGUAGGGUAAAAGCCUACCAAGGCAACGAUCUUUAGCUGGUCUGAGAGGAUGAUCAGCCACAUCGGGACUGAGACACGGCCCGAACUCCUACGGGAGGCAGCAGUGGGGAAUAUUGGACAAUGGGGGCAACCCUGAUCCAGCAAUACCGCGUGUGUGAAGAAGGCCUGAGGGUUGUAAAGCACUUUCAAUUGUGAAGAAAAGUUAAUGGUUAAUAACCGUUGACCUUGACGUUAACUUUAGAAGAAGCACCGGCUAACUCCGUGCCAGCAGCCGCGGUAAUACGGAGGGUGCAAGCGUUAAUCGGAAUUACUGGGCGUAAAGCGUGCGUAGGCGGUUUAUUAAGUCAGAUGUGAAAGCCCCGGGCUUAACCUGGGAACUGCAUUUGAAACUGGUCAACUAGAGUAUGGUAGAGGAAAGUGGAAUUUCUGGUGUAGCGGUGAAAUGCGUAGAUAUCAGAAGGAACAUCAAUGGCGAAGGCAGCUUUCUGGACCAAUACUGACGCUGAGGUACGAAAGCGUGGGUAGCAAACAGGAUUAGAUACCCUGGUAGUCCACGCCGUAAACGAUGAUAACUAGCCGUUGGGGGGAUUUACCCUUUAGUGGCGAAGCUAACGCGUUAAGUUAUCCGCCUGGGGAGUACGGCCGCAAGGCUAAAACUCAAAGGAAUUGACGGGGACCCGCACAAGCGGUGGAGCAUGUGGUUUAAUUCGAUGCAACGCGAAGAACCUUACCUGGUCUUGACAUCCUGCGAACUUUCUAGAAAUAGAUUGGUGCCUUCGGGAACGCAGUGACAGGUGCUGCAUGGCUGUCGUCAGCUCGUGUCGUGAGAUGUUGGGUUAAGUCCCGUAACGAGCGCAACCCCUAUCCUUAUUUGCCAGCACAUUAUGGUGGGAACUAUAAGGAGACUGCCGGUGAUAAACCGGAGGAAGGCGGGGACGACGUCAAGUCAUCAUGGCCCUUACGACCAGGGCUACACACGUGCUACAAUGGGAAGGACAAAGAGCCGCGAAGCCGCGAGGUGUAGCUAAUCUCAUAAAUCUUUUCGUAGUCCGGAUUGGAGUCUGCAACUCGACUCCAUGAAGUCGGAAUCGCUAGUAAUCGUAGAUCAGAAUGCUACGGUGAAUACGUUCCCGGGUCUUGUACACACCGCCCGUCAUACCAUGGGAGUGGGUUGCACCAGAAGUGGCUAGUCUAACUUUGUGAGGACGGUCACCACGGUGUGAUUCAUGACUGGGGUAAAGUCGUAACAAGGUAACC
rnacentral:rRNA from 1 species